UACGUAGGGUGCGAGCGUUAAUCGGAAUUACUGGGCGUAAAGCGUGCGCAGGCGGUUUUGUAAGUCUGACGUGAAAUCCCCGGGCUUAACCCGGGAAUUGCGUUGGAGACUGCAAGGCUGGAGUCUGGCAGAGGGGGGUAGAAUUCCACGUGUAGCAGUGAAAUGCGUAGAGAUGUGGAGGAACACCGAUGGCGAAGGCAGCCCCCUGGGUCAAGACUGACGCUCAUGCACGAAAGCGUGGGGAGCAAACAGG
rnacentral:rRNA from 1 species